AUAAAAGCAGUGAUCUGUUGUCAUCUAUAAGGACAGAUCUCUUGUAUGCUACAGGUAAAUCACCGGCAUUGUUUUUGGGUGAGUCUGUUUUCAAUUUACAUGAUAAUAUGGCUCAAUACACAAUGCCACAUUU
rnacentral:snoRNA from 1 species